AUAUCUUUUGAAUACUCUGCGUCAUUAAACAGAUUUAAUCUAUGCCACUAGUCAGUCACAAAAGUUGUAAAUUGCUGAAAUUCGUGUGAACCGUAUUCUGUAUUUCUGUAGUACCUGCCUAGAGUUUUUGUUUAACAUUUAUCAAUUUGUCCGUUUUUGAAUGAUGGAAAACUUUAAAAAGAAGCUGGAACGCGAUUUUGAGUGCUCCGAGAAGUCAGUCCCUUUGGAUAUUGUUUCUGAAUCAAGGAGUACUGAUGGGGCUACUGUUAAAUUAAAAAAAAUAAAACGCAGAGUGGCUAAUAAUUGCUAAGUAUUCAUCGUAGAAUCAUUAAUGCGCACAAGAGAUAGCUGCGGCUUGAAAAUGCUGUUGUAAAAUGUCUAAACUUGGCCUGUUGGCAAUUUCGGCAAUUGCUAUGCAAAUGAUGAUACUACAGAUACUAAUGCGUUUGAAGAAUGUACUAUGUCUAUGAAGUUGUGAUUAUUCAUAAGACUAUUGAAAAAAAAUGAUAUUUUAUUACAAAAUAAUGAUUGAUCUGAAUACAACCCUACAAUGAUGAAAAUUUAAACGUCUGCUGUUCCUUGCCAACCUUUACCAACGGUUUACAUACUGUUGCCGGACAAAUGUCAGGAUACGCAUUCGCGUGUAUUGGAUCCACUAAAGCUACUUUACCCUAGAUUGUUUUCAGUCAGUGUUAUACUGUUAUGACUGAUUUUAAAAAUAACCAGAUAAAGACAUUUGCUUAUGAUUUCCCAAAAAUCAAAAACAGAUGUUGUUUUUUCAUUUCAGUCAAUGCAUCUGGAGAAAUAUCCAAACAAUCACUGAUGUUAGAUCCAACUAUGAAGAGAAGGGUAAUUCGGACUUUGCAUUGAACGUGUGAAAAUUAGAUGGUCUUGCAUUUGUUUCGGAGUUUAAUGUCAUUAAAUGUUUUGAAAAGCCUAAAUUUUAAAUUUUAAUAGAUAACGAGGACCUACUGUUUAAUUUAGUUGACUAUUUUGAAACUACAUGGAUUGGUAAACUCCAAUAAACCGCUCUUGGACGAAUGCUUUCAAAAUACAAACUAAGUCUUUAGAACUAUUAUGAAGCAUCAUUGAAUGACCUGCCAAAAACUAAUUACGCCGUUGAAGGCUGCCAUCAAGGAUUCAAUUUUCUAUACUAGAGCUAUAUUCUAUAUAAUGAUAUAUAGAAAAUUACAUUAAAUGUUUUAUGUGCAUUUUUAGUUCAAUUUUUUACAACAAAGGAUAUUCACGCGUAAA